rnacentral:rRNA from 1 species
UACGGAGGGUGCAAACGUUGCUCGGAAUCAUUGGGCGUAAAGCGCACGUAGGUGGCUUGUUAAGUCGGGUGUGAAAUCCCUGGGCUCAACCCAGGAAGUGCACUCGAAACUGGCGAGCUUGAGUACUGAAGAGGGUCGCGGAAUUCCCGGUGUAGAGGUGAAAUUCGUAGAUAUUGGGAAGAACACCGAUGGCGAAGGCAGCCAUCUGGACCGACACUGACGCUGAGGCGCGAAAGCGUGGGGAGCAAACAGG